GUUCAGGGGUAAACCUGCGAAACUCGAAUGAACGAACGGAGAGAUUCAUCGUCACUCCGCGGCGUACGGGCGCGCGCCUCGAUGUCCUCGGCCUCGGUCGAGCGGCACGGGUCGUGUCCGUCGACGUCCGCGGACGGCGUGCACUUCUCUCUUAGUAAUGCAUCGCGACCCGUUCGAUGUCGGCCUAAGCGCGGCUCGGGAGCCCCGUCACCCCUAGGGGCGGCGGGACCGCGGCCGACGCCGGCCGGCCGUCGGACGGUAUUACGCAUGGAACCGCGCACGCGUUAACGCGCGUCCGGCCCGACGCAAGGUAACGUCGCGUACGCAGUCCUGCCUCAGAGCGGACGACGUCGCGGCGCGCCUGUAGUCGCCGCCGUGCAGUCUCGGACUGUGCGCGUCUCUGUCUGCGAUGAUUCGGUUUCGGGCACUCGCAGGACCCGUCUUGAAACACGGACCAAGGAGUCUAGCAUGUGUGCGAGUCAUUGAGAUAACAAAACUGAAAGGCGCAACGAAAGUGAAGGCGCGCGCUCGCCGCGCGCUCGGGGAGGAUGGAGCGUCGGUCUAGGUCGACCUCUCGCACUCCCGAGGCGUCUCGUUUCCAAUCCGUGAAUGCAGGCGCGCUCUGAGCACAGAUGCUGGGACCCGAAAGAUG
rnacentral:rRNA from 1 species